GCGGAGAGAGCUCGGUCGGUUAGAGUAAUAAACUGUGAAUUUAAAGGACAUGGGUUCAAAUCCCAUUCUUCGCC
rnacentral:tRNA from 1 species